rnacentral:rRNA from 1 species
AACGAACGCUGGCGGCAUGCCUAACACAUGCAAGUCGAACGAAGUCUUCGGACUUAGUGGCGCACGGGUGCGUAACGCGUGGGAAUCUGCCCUUGGGUGCGGAAUAACUUCUCGAAAGGGAUGCUAAUACCGCAUAAUGUCGUAAGACCAAAGAUUUAUCGCCCAAGGAUGAGCCCGCGUAAGAUUAGCUAGUUGGUGGGGUAAAAGCCUACCAAGGCGACGAUCUUUAGCUGGUCUGAGAGGAUGAUCAGCCACACUGGGACUGAGACACGGCCCAGACUCCUACGGGAGGCAGCAGUGGGGAAUAUUGGACAAUGGGCGAAAGCCUGAUCCAGCAAUGCCGCGUGAGUGAUGAAGGCCCUAGGGUUGUUAAAGCUCUUUUACCAGGGAUGAUAAUGACAGUACCUGGAGAAUAAGCUCCGGCUAACUCCGUGCCAGCAGCCGCGGUAAU